rnacentral:rRNA from 1 species
CGGACGGGUGAGUAAUGUCUGGGAAACUGCCUGAUGGAGGGGGAUAACUACUGGAAACGGUAGCUAAUACCGCAUAACGUCGCAAGACCAAAGAGGGGGACCUUCGGGCCUCUUGCCAUCGGAUGUGCCCAGAUGGGAUUAGCUAGUAGGCGGGGUAAAGGCUCACCUAGGCGACGAUCCCUAGCUGGUCUGAGAGGAUGACCAGCCACACUGGAACUGAGACACGGUCCAG